CAUUAGAUUGCAUUAUAGCAAUAUUUGAAGUUUAUAGGUUUAAUGUAAUACCGGGUUAUCCGGUAUUAGAGUUGAUGACUAAA
rnacentral:miRNA from 10 species